UACGAGUGCUCCAAGCGUUAUCCGGAAUCAUUGGGCGUAAAGGGUGUGUAGGUGGUUGUGUUAGUCUUGUGUUAAAUUCUUCGGCUUAACCGGGGGCAUGCAUGGGAAACGGCACAACUAGAGGAUGCGAGAGGUAAAUGGAACUCAUGGAGUAGGGGUGAAAUCCGUUGAUAUCAUGGGGAACACCAAAUGCGAAGGCAAUUUACUGGCGCACUCCUGACACUGAGACACGAAAGCGUAGGUAGCGAAUGGG
rnacentral:rRNA from 1 species